GCAGCCUCCGGACAGAUCAUCCUGGUCAGUCUACCUUAAAGAUGGAACUUCAUGGAAACGAAGGGGUGGAGAGGAGUUGUAUGAAACCAGACAUCUUCUGAAUUCUGCAGAAAAUGCUACAGCCAGAUUCACUGUACAGAGUCUGAUAAAUGCCAGAGUAGCCCCAGAGGGACAGCAUCACCAUCAUUCCUUUCGAGUGGCACUGGAUGAAAACAGAAGAAUCACUGAGAAGUUGUCAAACAUUUAGAUUCCUGGGCCCCACUCAAGACAUUCUCUGGGGUGGAGGGUCGGAA
rnacentral:lncRNA from 1 species